rnacentral:rRNA from 1 species
UCGCCGCCCGUGACUCGGCGAGAANUCCAUUGAACCUUAUCAUUUAGAGGAAGGAGAAGUCGUAACAAGGUUUCCGUAGGUGAACCUGCGGAAGGAUCAUUG